rnacentral:tRNA from 1 species
GUUAGCUCAGUUAGUUAGAGCAUUGGCCUGAUAUGCCAAGGUGCCAAGGUUGCAGGUUCGAUCCCUGGUCAC